CGGAGGAUACACGUCUAUGCGCCCGAUCCGUUUCACACGGCAGGACAUCGUCAAGUACUUUACAUACAAACAUUUAUAACAAACCAGGUGUAACGGUAACCAAAACAAACAGCGAAAAAUUCGUUCAAUUAAAAAGUACUUAAUUAAUUCAUGUGAGUGCGUGCGUAAGAAGUUUUAAGUGAAUUGGUUUGUGGAAAUUACUGACUAAAAUACGUUGGGAAUGAUGUUAAGGCUUAAUGAAAGUAUAGCAACUUACGAGAUUCCCGGGAUCAAGAUCAAGCGGAGUAUAGUGAGAAUUUGAGGUAAAUCGCCGUGUGGGGGAUGACGCUGGGCGGUGAAGACGAACGGUGCGGCGCGGGGUGAGCUAGCUCGGG